AUUGAACGCUGGCGGCAUGCUUUACACAUGCAAGUCGAACGGCAGCGCGGGGGCAACCCUGGCGGCGAGUGGCGAACGGGUGAGUAAUGCAUCGGAACGUAUCCUGUAAUGGGGGAUAACGUAGCGAAAGUUACGCUAAUACCGCAUACGCUCGAGAGAGGAAAGUGGGGAUCGCAAGACCUCACGUUAUAGGAGCGGCCGAUGUCCGAUUAGCUAGUUGGUGGGUAAAGGCCUACCAAGGCGACGAUCGGUAGCUGGUCUGAGAGGAUGAUCAGCCACACUGGGACUGAGACACGGCCCAGACUCCUACGGGAGGCAGCAGUGGGGAAUUUUGGACAAUGGGCGAAAGCCUGAUCCAGCCAUGCCGCGUGCGGGAAGAA
rnacentral:rRNA from 1 species